rnacentral:rRNA from 1 species
CCUACGGGAGACAGCAGUGGGGAAUAUUGCACAAUGGGGGAAACCCUGAUGCAGCGACGCCGCGUGAGUGAAGAAGUAUCUCGGUACGUAAAGCUCUAUCAGCAGGGAAGAAAAUGACGGUACCUGACUAAGAAGCCCCGGCUAACUACGUGCCAGCAGCCGCGGUAAUACGUAGGGGGCAAGCGUUAGCCGGAUUUACUGGGUGUAAAGGGAGCGUAGAGGGCAGCACAAGUCUGGAGUGAAAUCCCGGGGCUUAAACCCGGGACUGCUUUGGUAACUGUGCGGCUGGAGUGCAGGAGGGGUAAGCGGAAUUCCUAGUGUAGCGGUGAAAUGCGUAGAUAUUAGGAGGAACACUAGUGGCGAAGGCGGCUUACUGGACUGUAACUGACGUUGAGGCUCGAAAGCGUGGGGAGCAAACAGGAUUAGAUACCCUUGUAGUC